rnacentral:piRNA from 1 species
UACCAGAUGUGCCGUGUCUAAACUAGACAUGU